AUCUAUGGCCAUGCCACCCUGAACAAGCCUGAUGUCUGAUCUCAGAAACUAAGCAGGAUUGGGCCUGGUUAGUACUUGGAUGGGAGACCACCUCGGAAGACCAGGUGCUGUAGGCA
rnacentral:rRNA from 1 species